rnacentral:rRNA from 1 species
GCGCUGCUCGGCGACGCUCUGCGGCAGGCCAUCAUGCCGCGGGGUGCGUACGAGGCGCUGCGGGACGAGGAGCGCGCGCUGCCGCUAGCAGCGGCGGCUGCCGCCUGCGUCGCCUUCGCUACCGUUGCCGCGGUGGGGAUCAGCCUCGGGAUCGUGUUUCCCGCCGAGCCCGCGGACCGGCCCUUCUGCCGGGAGCGCCGCAUGCUGGAGGCGCUCCCGGCAGCUGCUAGCAGCCGGGAGGAGGAGCCCGAGGCGUAUCGAUAUCGAGGCGGGGCUUUCUACAUGACCACGGCCGAGGCCGCCGACUUCUACUGGAUGGUCGUCUUGGUGCCAUCCGCUGUCCUCUUCGCCACAUCCGCCGCUUACCUCGUAUCAGGAAUAUCUGUUGCAUAUGCUGCUCCAAGGAGGCAUCCGUUCAUUUGCAUUGUUGAGAAUAACUUCUGCGCUUCUAGAAGAGGUGGUAUGCGUUGCCUGGCUAUAGUGAAUGCAGUUUUCGCCCUCAUAUUUGGUCUCAUGGCAAUAGUCUUUGGAUCAAUGCUUCUGGCCCUUGGAAGUAGUUGUUCGAUUCCUCUCUUCUGGUGCUACGAAAUUGCAGCAUGGGGUUUAGUUAUCCUUUACGGUGGUACAGCCGCCUUCUUGAGAAGGAAAGCGGCAGCGGAGGGCGAUUAUGCUAGCCAUAUUGUGGGCCUUGAGAUGCUCGAGACCACAAUUGAGGUGACCUCAGAUGCGCAGAGGCGUGUAAACGAUGGCUUCAAAACAUGGAUGGGGUCAUCGCUUCUAUCUUCAGACGAGGAGGAGGAAGCUUUGGAUGACUAUAUAGAGCACAAUGCUCCUGCCCCGAAAGCUUCAGUUCAGCACAGGAAGGAAAAUGAUUUACAAGAGCUGACUUAA